UAUGAGUGAGAUAGCACUAAGCUUCUCAACUAUAAUCUGUAAGAUGGAAGAAAAUUCCUACUAGUGUGGAGCUGCCAGGUGUCGAGGUGGUCCAUUAGGACAAUGAGCUGAAAUGAAACUAACGAUCGAGACUUUGUUCACCUGCUGUGAUGAUGUAAUCAAGGGCAAAAAUAAGCGCCGGCUCCCUAGUGUUAAUUUUCCCCAUGGGACAGCAGUGGUCAGGAUUGUGGUGGCAUGCAGUGCAGCAACUGGAUCAUAACAAUCAUGCAAUGAUACAUCAGGACCCUCGACCUCACAACAUUUUGUCUACCAUAUGCUUAAAAGAAGAAAAGAGACCAGGUGUAAAGAAUGAACACAUACUGUUACUUUCAGCUAGCAAGCAAGGAAGCCACCCAGGCAGCUGCCCUGAACUCAAACCUACACAGACAGCUCCAGAGCCAUUCUCCAUCAGCGCCAUGCUCAUCAGUACCAUUCAUGUUUUGUUUUCUUCCUUGAAUUCUAUUUUGUCUUUAUUUUUACAGUGUUGUCUGACCUAUAUGUACUCAUUCUUUGUUUUAAACCACUUAGUGCCAAUUCAUUUUACGUUUAAUGGUUAACACCGUAUAGCUAAAUUUUUUUAGAGAAUUUGGUAGUC
rnacentral:lncRNA from 1 species